AGAGUUUGAUUAUGGCUCAGGACGAACGCUGGCGGCGUGCUUAACACAUGCAAGUCGAACGGAGUGUAGCAAUACACUUAGUGGCGGACGGGUGGGUAACACGUGAGCAACCUGCCCUAUACAACGGGAUAACACAAAGAAAUUUGUGCUAAUACCGUAUAAGACCCCGCUAAGGCAUCUUAGAGAGGUCAAAGCGUUAGCGGUAUAGGAGGGGCUCGCGGCCCAUUAGCUAGUUGGUGAGGUAACGGCCCACCAAGGCGACGAUGGGUAGCCGACCUGAGAGGGUGAACGGCCACAUUGGAACUGAGACACGGUCCAAACUCCUACGGGAGGCAGCAGUGGGGAAUAUUGGGCAAUGGAGGCAAACCUCUGACCCAGCAACGCCGCGUGAAUGAAGAAGGCCUUCGGGUUGUAAAGUUCUUUAGUGAGGGACGAACAAAUGACGGUACCUCGAGAAUAAGCCACGACUAACUACGUGCCAGCCGCUGC
rnacentral:rRNA from 1 species